CAGUCAUAGUACAUUAGGUAACAAUUUAUAUACCAUAAACCAUCUCUAAAAGAAUUUUCACAUGCAGUAAAAAUCAGAUUUAAGAAAUUUAGAGUUAUGAUUUAUAGUUAUGAGCUUUAUGAUUCAUUUUGUCCUUUGUCAAAGUCAUAUUAUAAUGCGAGUAAAGCAAGGUUUUAUAAAGAUUGCACUUAGAGACGUGUUUCCAGUUGUGAUGUCAAAUAAGAAUCACUUCACUACAAAAUGAAAAUCAACCGACUUUUAAACUUUACAAUAAUAACGUUAUCUUAUACGCUAUUGUACUUAGUUACCGUUACAACUGCAAUGCCUCAACCUUUUGUUGGAAAACCUCAAAGACAUCAUUACCUGGAUCGAUUGGAAACAUCAUUGUACCCACCAUCAGGUUAUCGAUGAUGUCCAUUCCCAUCAUUUCUUACUACGAAAUUUAUUGAUCCACUAAAAAUAUCACCACGUCCUCCUCCAGGCGGUUCGUGAAUCAUAUCAUUUUCAUGUAAAUAAGAAAACUUACCUCAAAAUUUACCUGCUUGUCAACUUCUGAAGCAGCUGCUCUUCAAAAAUGAAGUGAUAUACAUCAUAAAAUGUUUAGUUCACAUGAGCAUUUUUUAAUUGUAUAAUAUAUAUAUUAAAAAACAAUAUUGUAUAAUAUUGUACAUGGUUGCAACCAUGGUCUUUCAUUGAUAGUUAGAUGCUGGGUUUAAAAAUGAUUUGUUUCACAUAGUAUGUGUUUCAAUAUGUAAAUAAAUUUAUAAUUUUUAAGUUUGUAUCAUAUUGGAAAUAGUUGCAACCAUGGUCUUUCACUGUUAGUUUAUAUGUUGGGUUUAAAAAUAACGAUUUUUUUCACAUAAUAUGUGUUUCAGUAUGUAAAUACAUUUAUAAUUUUUAAGUUUGCAUAAUAUUGUACAUAGUUGCAACCAUGGUCUUUCAUUGAUAGUUUAGAUGUUGGGUUUAAAAAGAAUGACUUGUUUCACAUAAUAUGUGUUUCAAUAUGUAAAUAAAUUUAUAAUUUUUAAGCAAAAACAAAUGUUUAAUUGAUUAAAAAAAUUUUGUAUCGCA